GCUGAGGUGUAGCGGACGUCGCGCGGCCGCUCAGGCCGGCCGUGGCGACGGACCUUGACGAUGGUGGCGUCGGCCAUGGCG
rnacentral:tRNA from 1 species